rnacentral:rRNA from 1 species
AGUGAACGCUGGCGGUAGGCCUAACACAUGCAAGUCGAACGGCAGCACAGUAAGAGCUUGCUCUUACGGGUGGCGAGUGGCGGACGGGUGAGGAAUACAUCGGAAUCUACUUUUUCGUGGGGGAUAACGUGGGGAAACUUCUGCUAAUACCGCAUACGACCUACGGGUUAAAGCAGGGGUUCUUCGGACCUUUCGCGAUUGAAUGAGCCGAUGUCGGAUUAGCUAGUUGGCGGGGUAAAGGCCCACCAAGGCGACGAUCCGUAGCUGGUCUGAGAGGAUGAUCAGCCACACUGGAACUGAGACACGGUCCAGACUCCUACGGGAGGCAGCAGUGGGGAAUAUUGGACAAUGGGCGCAAGCCUGAUCCAGCCAUACCGCGUGGGUGAAGAAGGCCUUCGGGUUGUAAAGCCCUGUUGUUGGGAAAGAAAAGCAGCAGGUUAAUACCCCGCUGUUCUGACGGUACCCAAAGAAUAAGCACCGGCUAACUUCGUG